CAAGGAUGCGCAUCCGUUCAAAACCCGUUAUCGAACACGUACAAAUCCUCAGCGGGCUCUGCCCUCGCUCAGUCCGGGCCCAGGAGGCCCACAGAGGAAGACGCCGUACGUCCCCAGACCCCAGCCCCUCCCAGAAUAAAUGCGGGGGCGGGGGGCCGGCACUGGGACAGUUGGCACGCGGACAAGAAGAGGGCGGAUGGGACUUUCAAGAUACAACAGUGGGACUUGGGCAGACACGAUUUCCUUGAAUCUGCUCCUGGUCUGGGAAUGGUUGUGACUGUUACAACUUACAAUGAUGAGGUAUUACUGUCAAAGUUAUAUGGCCCACAGGGAACAUUCUACUUCACUUCACAUUCACCUGGCGAACACAUCAUUUGCUUACAGUCUAAUUCUACGAGGCUCGUGUCAUUUGGAGGGAGUAAGCUGCGGAUCCACUUAGAUAUUCGAGUUGGAGAACAUGACCUUGAUGCAGCCAUUGCUCAAGCAAAGGACAAAGUUAAUGAAGUUAGCUUCAAGCUUGAACAUCUAAUUGAGCAAAUGGAGCAAAUAGUCAAAGAACAAAACUAUCAAAGGGACCGUGAAGAAGAAUUUCGAAUGACCAGUGAAGAUACAAACAGCAACGUUUUAUGGUGGGCCUUUGCACAAACACUAAUCUUUAUCUCAGUUGGAAUUUUCCAAAUAAAGUACCUUAAAGACUUCUUCAUAGCUAAGAAACUUGUUUAAAAAUAU